ACCUUCUAUUAUCAAUACGCCCGAAAUGGGGCCGACACAUCGCUCCGAAAUGGCGUUCUCCAAACUACUACAAGCAAGCUCCAAAGUAUUAUCAAUACGCCCACUUCCCAAUGUCACAAACCGGGCGUUACUGAGGAAUUUCAAAACUAUUGUUAAGAAACUCGGGACGCAUCUAGUGACGAGGAUGAGGAAGAGUAUGUAAUAGAGUAGGAGGAAGAGAUUUCAAAAAAUGGUCCAAAAAACGAAAGGUAAAGAAAAAGAAAAGCAAAGUCUCAAAGAUGGACCGAUUUCAAAUAGGUCACUUUAAUGAAAGCGUGGAUAUCUUGCUCGGAAGAUCUGAACCAAGCGAAUGAAGUAAACAAAUUAAAAGGGCCUUUACCCCUGUAGAAAAUGAUUACUGAACAUCUUGCUCAACACUUGGUCAUUACCAUCGAACUCUCAAUCAAGUUUACUCAAAAUGGAGGAUGGAGGGAUCUGAAUCAUGCAUCGAAGAAGUGGAACGGUUUUUAUCAAAGUCGAGCUGAGUUGAGCCGAGUCUGCCUGAGCUUUGGGUUUUACUCGCGAGCCGAGCUCGAGCUCAAAUAAGUAAGCUCGAACCGAGCCGACCUCGAGCUUCAU